rnacentral:rRNA from 1 species
UACGGAGGGUGCAAGCGUUAUCCGGAUUUACUGGGUUUAAAGGGUGCGUAGGUGGGCAGGUAAGUCAGUGGUGAAAUCUUCAAGCUUAACUUGGAAACUGCCAUUGAUACUAUUUGUCUUGAAUAUCCUGGAGGUAAGCGGAAUAUGUCAUGUAGCGGUGAAAUGCUUAGAUAUGACAUAGAACACCUAUUGCGAAGGCAGCUAACUACGCGAAUAUUGACGCUGAGGCACGAAAGCGUGGGGAUCAAACAGG